rnacentral:rRNA from 1 species
AGAGUUUGAUCCUGGCUCAGGAUGAACGCUAGCGGCAGGCCUAAUACAUGCAAGUCUAGGGGGCAGCAAUGUCACCGGCGCACGGGUGCGUAACACGUAUGCAACCUACCUUCUUGAGGGGUACAGCCUUCCGAAAGGGAGAUUAAUACCGCAUAAGACCACAUUGCUUCAUGGCAGAGAGGUUAAAGAUUUAUCGCAAGAAGAUGGGCAUGCGUCUGAUUAGUUAGUUGGCGGGGUAACGGCCCACCAAGACGAUGAUCAGUAGGGGACCUGAGAGGGUAAUCCCCCACACUGGCACUGAGAUACGGGCCAGACUCCUACGGGAGGCAGCAGUAGGGAAUAUUGGGCAAUGGAGGCAACUCUGACCCAGCCAUGCCGCGUGCAGGAUGAAGGCGUUAUGCGUUGUAAACUGCUUUUAUACAGGAAGAAAAAGGCCAUGCGUGGCAAAUGACGGUACU